AAGCUCCAUAUACGAUUAGACUCCAACAAUUUCACACUUGUACGCAACAGCGAGGAGAGGACAUGCGAACAUUUGCAGUUUGAUUGCAGUCUCUUGCAGCAGAGAUGACAAUAAGUGUAAACGCCACCAACAAUCAGGAAAGGAAAGUGGUAGAGAUGUGUCAGAGGAAGGAAAUGGAUGAAUGUUUGAGAGUACAAUUUCUCAACGGCAUUAAUGACAAAAUUAAGUGUAAUGUAAUGUCGCACGAUCCAAAGACGUUUGAGGAAGCCUUGUUAGUCGCUUCCCGUGAGGAGUUUAUAGAUCAAGUGAUAUCUAAACCAAGGCCUUAUGUCGGGAAAAUAGGC
rnacentral:lncRNA from 1 species